CUCCUAUCACAAAGGUUGGGUUCCCACUGCAGGAAGGCCCUUUACGGGCAAAGUCCCAUCCCCUUCGAUGACUCCAGGACCUUAGUCCUAUUCAGGCCUUUCGUUAAGCAAUCUGCAAAAUUCUGAUCAGAUCUGAUAAAACUUAAAGAAAUAAUAUCAUGAGAAGUUAACCAUCUAACAGACUUUUGUCUCAAUUUAAUAUGUCUACUUGCUUUAGAAUUUACCAAUUUCUUUUUACAAAAAUCAAUUGCAGCUCGAGAAUCACANNNNN
rnacentral:lncRNA from 1 species